CAGUGAGUUGCAAUGAAGGUAACUGGAUGUGUAACAUUGCUCCAAAUUCUUGCUCCUCUGGCUCGAUCCCACUCUGUGUGCAUUGGUGUUCCUCAGCUGAUGCUGGAUGCCAGUUCAGUGCAGUGUUUUCCAGGCUCUACCCAAGAGAAAAUUAUCAGCUGCCCCUGGGAGCUGUGGCAAAGCACAGUGAGCUACAGCAGUGUAUCCUGAAGAGGCUCAGCCCCACCUGGAGGCAUUUACAAUGGUGAUAAGAAAGAAGAGAAAAGCAGAGGCAGUUUUGCAGCAUCUUUUUCACAGCAGGCAAUAUGUACAUAAUGAGGAGGGACUACUGGUGGAUGGAGUGGCAAUUCCAUCUGUUCUUGGCCUUCAUCCUCUGCCCUAAACACCCAAGCCUUUCUGCAGCAGUUCAGUUGAUUUCCAUCGUAGAUGCCACCAGAAACCUGAAAUAUGGAAAGCACUGAUGUACUCACUAUCCUGAGAAAAAGCAUCUGAAGGCCUUUACUGUCCUGCUGUCAUGUUGCAGAUACACACUGAGUGUACCAGCUUCUGCAUCCUCUUCCCCUACCCUGAGUUUUGGCUGCUUGUCUACACAAUCACCUCUGAUGUGGUGCAGGUGACUCUGGGCCUACCUUAUUGCUAUGGGCUUGUCUGAUGCUCAUGGGACUCUUGGCUGACUCUUCUUCCCAUCACCCAACCCACUCUGCCCUUCUUGCUGGGGCACAGCAGGACUGCAGCUGCUUGCGGAAGGCACUGCCCCUGAUGAUGCUAGUGGCUUCCGAAUCAUCUUUGCAGAUCAGCCCACUGACACUGCCAUUUGGAAAACCCCAUAAAUAUGUGGAUUAAGGGGCAGAGGGAACCAAUUCUCAACAAAGGAAAAAAGCCCUGCAAUGUAAAAAGAGAAAGAAAGAGAAA